GAGCCAGGGGCGAGGGGCUGCGGGAGGAGCUUGGCGGAGGCUGCGGUUUUCGCAUCUCCGGUCUCCCCUCCUUCUCUUU
rnacentral:pre_miRNA from 1 species